UAGGGUAGGCGUAGCGAAAGCGAGUCUUAAUAGGGCGUUUAGUCGCUGGGUAUAGACCCGAAACCGGGCGAUCUAUCCAUGAGCAGGUUGAAGGUUAGGUAACACUGACUGGAGGACCGAACCCACUCCCGUUGAAAAGGUAGGGGAUGACUUGUGGAUCGGAGUGAAAGGCUAAUCAAGCUCGGAGAUAGCUGGUUCUCCUCGAAAGCUAUUUAGGUAGCGCCUCAUGUAUCACUCUGGGGGGUAGAGCACUGUUUCGGCUAGGGGGUCAUCCCGACUUACCAAACCGAUGCAAACUCCGAAUACCCAGAAGUGCCGAGCAUGGGAGACACACGGCGGGUGCUAACGUCCGUCGUGAAAAGGGAAACAACCCAGACCGCCAGCUAAGGUCCCAAAGUUGUGGUUAAGUGGUAAACGAUGUGGGAAGGCUUAGACAGCUAGGAGGUUGGCUUAGAAGCAGCCAUCCUUUAAAGAAAGCGUAAUAGCUCACUAGUCGAGUCGGCCUGCGCGGAAGAUGUAACGGGGCUCAAACCACACACCGAAGCUGCGGGUGUCACGCAAGUGACGCGGUAGAGGAGCGUUCUGUAAGCCUGUGAAGGUGAGUUGAGAAGCUUGCUGGAGGUAUCAGAAGUGCGAAUGCUGACAUGAGUAACGACAAUGGGUGUGAAAAACAUCCACGCCGAAAGACCAAGGGUUCCUGCGCAACGUUAAUCGACGCAGGGUUAGUCGGUUCCUAAGGCGAGGCUGAAAAGCGUAGUCGAUGGGAAACAGGUUAAUAUUCCUGUACUUCUGGUUACUGCGAUGGAGGGACGGAGAAGGCUAGGCCAGCUUGGCGUUGGUUGUCCAAGUUUAAGGUGGUAGGCUGAAAUCUUAGGUAAAUCCGGGGUUUCAAGGCCGAGAGCUGAUGACGAGUCGUCUUUUAGAUGACGAAGUGGUUGAUGCCAUGCUUCCAAGAAAAGCUUCUAAGCUUCAGGUAACCAGGAACCGUACCCCAAACCGACACAGGUGGUCGGGUAGAGAAUACCAAGGCGCUUGAGAGAACUCGGGUGAAGGAACUAGGCAAAAUGGCACCGUAACUUCGGGAGAAGGUGCGCCGGCUAGGGUGAAGGAUUUACUCCGUAAGCUCUGGCUGGUCGAAGAUACCAGGCCGCUGCGACUGUUUAUUAAAAACACAGCACUCUGCAAACACGAAAGUGGACGUAUAGGGUGUGACGCCUGCCCGGUGCCGGAAGGUUAAUUGAUGGGGUUAGCGCAAGCGAAGCUCUUGAUCGAAGCCCCGGUAAACGGCGGCCGUAACUAUAACGGUCCUAAGGUAGCGAAAUUCCUUGUCGGGUAAGUUCCGACCUGCACGAAUGGCGUAACGAUGGCGGCGCUGUCUCCACCCGAGACUCAGUGAAAUUGAAAUCGCUGUGAAGAUGCAGUGUAUCCGCGGCUAGACGGAAAGACCCCGUGAACCUUUACUGUAGCUUUGCACUGGACUUUGAGCCUGCUUGUGUAGGAUAGGUGGGAGGCUUUGAAGCGUGGACGCCAGUUCGCGUGGAGCCAUCCUUGAAAUACCACCCUGGCAUGCUUGAGGUUCUAACUCUGGUCCGUGAUCCGGAUCGAGGACAGUGUAUGGUGGGCAGUUUGACUGGGGCGGUCUCCUCCUAAAGAGUAACGGAGGAGUACGAAGGUGCGCUCAGACCGGUCGGAAAUCGGUCGCAGAGUAUAAAGGCAAAAGCGCGCUUGACUGCGAGACAGACACGUCGAGCAGGUACGAAAGUAGGUCUUAGUGAUCCGGUGGUUCUGUAUGGAAGGGCCAUCGCUCAACGGAUAAAAGGUACUCCGGGGAUAACAGGCUGAUACCGCCCAAGAGUUCAUAUCGACGGCGGUGUUUGGCACCUCGAUGUCGGCUCAUCACAUCCUGGGGCUGAAGCCGGUCCCAAGGGUAUGGCUGUUCGCCAUUUAAAGUGGUACGCGAGCUGGGUUUAGAACGUCGUGAGACAGUUCGGUCCCUAUCUGCCGUGGACGUUUGAGAUUUGAGAGGGGCUGCUCCUAGUACGAGAGGACCGGAGUGGACGAACCUCUGGUGUUCCGGUUGUCACGCCAGUGGCAUUGCCGGGUAGCUAUGUUCGGAAAAGAUAACCGCUGAAAGCAUCUAAGCGGGAAACUUGCCUCAAGAUGAGAUCUCACUGGGAACUUGAUUCCCCUGAAGGGCCGUCGAAGACUACGACGUUGAUAGGCUGGGUGUGUAAGCGUUGUGAGGCGUUGAGCUAACCAGUACUAAUUGCCCGUGAGGCUUGACCAU
rnacentral:rRNA from 1 species